UGCUUGGUGUAACGUUUUGUGAUGGGUGGCCUAUCAGAUUAUCUUGAACCCUGAGAACUUACUUUGCUGGUGAUGACUUUUUGUUGGUUGGUUUACAUAUAUAUGGUUUUUCAUGAAUGACAUUCUGGACCUUUAUAAUAUCCUCAGGAUUGGUCUCUUGAACUCGAAGAAGUUUUUUCACUUGAAAGGGAAGGAGAAUUUGAUAAGAAUGCUCCUCUGGCAUGGAAAUUGAUCAACCUGCAUUGAUUCCGCAUAUAUCUGAAGCCAGCUCCUUAAAGUAUACUUAUGAGGUCCUUUUCCAGAGCUUACACAAGCUGCUUAUGGAUACUGCAACUUCUGAGUACCUUUUUGCUCUUCUCCUUGAUUUUGUUUUCUAGAUGUAAGUGAAUGUCAAGUCUGUUGUAUGGUUUUUGACUCUUUU